rnacentral:rRNA from 1 species
GCGGCCGUAACUAUAACGGUCCUAAGGUAGCGAAAUUCCUUGUCGGGUAAGUUCCGACCUGCACGAAUGGCGUAAUGAUGGCCAGGCUGUCUCCACCCGAGACUCAGUGAAAUUGAACUCGCUGUGAAGAUGCAGUGUACCCGCGGCAAGACGGAAAGACCCCGUGAACCUUUACUAUAGCUUGACACUGAACAUUGAGCCUUGAUGUGUAGGAUAGGUGGGAGGCUUUGAAGUGUGGACGCCAGUCUGCAUGGAGCCGACCUUGAAAUACCACCCUUUAAUGUUUGAUGUUCUAACGUGGACCCGUAAUCCGGGUUGCGGACAGUGUCUGGUGGGUAGUUUGACUGGGGCGGUCUCCUCCUAAAGAGUAACGGAGGAGCACGAAGGUUGGCUAAUCCUGGUCGGACAUCAGGAGGUUAGUGCAAUGGCAUAAGCCAGCUUGACUGCGAGCGUGACGGCGCGAGCAGGUGCGAAAGCAGGUCAUAGUGAUCCGGUGGUUCUGAAUGGAAGGGCCAUCGCUCAACGGAUAAAAGGUACUCCGGGGAUAACAGGCUGAUACCGCCCAAGAGUUCAUAUCGACGGCGGUGUUUGGCACCUCGAUGUCGGCUCAUCACAUCCUGGGGCUGAAGUAGGUCCCAAGGGUAUGGCUGUUCGCCAUUUAAAGUGGUACGCGAGCUGGGUUUAGAACGUCGUGAGACAGUUCGGUCCCUAUCUGCCGUGGGCGCUGGAGAACUGAGGGGGGCUGCUCCUAGUACGAGAGGACCGGAGUGGACGCAUCACUGGUGUUCGGGUUGUCAUGCCAAUGGCACUGCCCGGUAGCUAAAUGCGGAAGAGAUAAGUGCUGAAAGCAUCUAAGCACGAAACUUGCCCCGAGAUGAGUUCUCCCUGAGACUUAGAGUCUCCUGAAGGAACGUUGAAGACGACGACGUUGAUAGGCCGGGUGUGUAAGCGCAGCGAUGCGUUGAGCUAACCGGUACUAAUGAACCGUGAGGCUUAACCUUACAAC